CCUACGGGAGGCAGCAGUGAGGCAUAUUGGUCAAUGGGCGGAAGCCUGAACCAGCCAAGUCGCGUGAGGGAUUCAGGCCCUGCGGGUCGUAAACCUCUUUUGCCGGGGAGCAGAGGUCCGGCCGUGUCCGGGCCGGGAGAGUACCCGGAGAAAAAGCAUCGGCUAACUCCUGGCCAGCAGCCGCGGUACGACGGCGGAUGCGAGCGUUAUCCGGAUUUAUUGGGUUUAAAGGGUGCGUAGGCGGGCAUUUAAGCCGGCGGUCAAAUGUCGGGGAGCAACCCAGGCCUGCCGUCGUAACUGGGUGCCUUGAGUGGGCGAGAAGCAUGCGGAAUGCGUGGUGUAGCGGUGAAAUGCAUAGAUA
rnacentral:rRNA from 1 species